AGCGAACGCUGGCGGCAGGCUUAACACAUGCAAGUCGAACGGUCCUUCGGGAUAGUGGCGGACGGGUGAGUAACACGUGGGAACGUACCCUUAGGUUCGGAACAACACAGGGAAACUUGUGCUAAUACCGGAUAAGCCCUUCGGGGGAAAGAUUUAUCGCCUUUGGAGCGGCCCGCGUCUGAUUAGCUUGUUGGUGAGGUAAUGGCUCACCAAGGCUACGAUCAGUAGCUGGUCUGAGAGGAUGGACAGCCACACUGGGACUGAGACACGGCCCAGACUCCUACGGGAGGCAGCAGUGGGGAAUCUUGCGCAAUGGGCGAAAGCCUGACGCAGCCAUGCCGCGUGGAUGAUGAAGGUCUUAGGAUUGUAAAAUCCUUUCACCGGGGACGAUAAUGACGGUACCCGGAGAAGAAGCCCCGGCUAACUGCGUGCCAGCCGCCGCAGUAA
rnacentral:rRNA from 1 species